GGGGACGUGGCGGAAUGGUAGACGCGCACGCUUCAGGAGCGUGUGGGGCAACCCGUGAGAGUUCGACUCUCUCCGUCCCCACCA
rnacentral:tRNA from 1 species